rnacentral:lncRNA from 12 species
CCCAGAAAGUGCUGCGAGGAUUGUUUUUGGAGUUCCAAAUGGAUUCUAGCGAGUAGGCAAAUUUGCAAACACGUGAAUAAUGAGGAGUCACUGUAUUAUGAUGUGAGGAGAGGCUGAAAGCAGACAUAAAAGCCCCUCACAGACAGAGCAGCAAGUGGAGCUCGGAGCUGGUCUAAAACACUGCUGAAAAGGAGACUUUCUCCAAGGAAGACCUGCCGAAGUGUGGUCAUUCAGCAAAUUGACUGGUAUAGUGGACCAACAUAGUCUGGCAGAAGGAAAUGCAAGUUCCUUGCUGCACCUAAUAUCAGAGAGGACAGAAGUCUUUGGGUUUCAACUGCUGUUUUCACGUUGGCGUGGUAUGCUUUUCAAUGCCAGAAUUCUCUGCAGCUAAAAUACGAUACUGCUUGCUCUCAAAAGACAGUACAAUGAAGAAAGGAUUCAUCUCAGUAUACUUUUGCUGUUUGUUUUGAGUGCUAUGAAAUGUCAAACAGUAUUGCAAAGAAAACAACUUUGAAACCAGCACAGCAUUUGUGAAUAAUUUCUUCUUGGUAC